GGACUGGUCCCAUAAUUUCACUAACAUGUUAGGCUAUACGGAUGCUCAGUUCACGGAACUCAUGCGCUUAUACCUCACCAUCCACAGCGACCCUGAGGGG